rnacentral:rRNA from 1 species
GACGAACGCUGGCGGCGUGCUUAACACAUGCAAGUCGAACGGAAAGGCCCUGCUUUUGUGGGGUGCUCGAGUGGCGAACGGGUGAGUAACACGUGAGUAACCUGCCCUUGACUUUGGGAUAACUUCAGGAAACUGGGGCUAAUACCGGAUAGGAGCUCCUGCUGCAUGGUGGGGGUUGGAAAGUUUCGGCGGUGGGGGAUGGACUCGCGGCUUAUCAGCUGGUUGGUGGGGUAGUGGCUUACCAAGGCUUUGACGGGUAGCCGGCCUGAGAGGGUGACCGGGCACAUUGGGCCUGAGAUACGGACCAGACUCCUACGGGAGGCAGCAGUGGGGAAUAUUGCAGAAUGGGCGGAAGCCUGAUGCAGAAACGCCGCGUGCGGGAUGACGGCCUUCGGGUUGUAAACCGCUUUCGACUGUGACGAAGCGUGCGUGACGGUAAUGGGUCAAGAAGCACCGGCUAACUACGUG